rnacentral:lncRNA from 1 species
UGACACGUGCAAUGCAAUGCACUGUAAAGAGUGCACAUGCAACCCUGACUUUGAAAAAACCACUGUUGUUGACAAGCACGCCGAUCGAACUGUCAGGGAGAUCGUUGAGGCUUAUCAAAUAAGGAAGAGUGGCAAUGCUUGCGUUAG